rnacentral:sRNA from 1 species
GAAUGUGAGGGCCAUCUGGCUGGGACAUCUGUCACCCAUUGAUCGCCAGGGUUGAUUUGGCUGAUCUGGCUGGCUAGACAGAUGUCCCCUUCCUCCCUCACUGUUCC